CGAUUGUAGUCAUAUGCUUGUCUCAAAGAUUAAGCCAUGCAUGUCUAAGUAUAAGCAAUCUAUACUGUGAAACUGCGAAUGGCUCAUUAAAUCAGUUAUCGUUUAUUUGAUAGUACCUUACUACUUGGAUAACCGUGGUAAUUCUAGAGCUAAUACAUGCUAAAAACCCCGACUUUUGGAGGGGUGUAUUUAUUAGAUAAAAAACCAAUGCCCUUCGGGGCUCCUUGGUGAUUCAUAAUAACUUAACGAAUCGCAUGGCCUUGUGCCGGCGAUGGUUCAUUCAAAUUUCUGCCCUAUCAACUUUCGAUGGUUAGGUCUUGGCUAACCAUGGUUUCAACGGGUAACGGGGAAUUAGGGUUCUAUUCCGGAGAGUGAGCCUGAGAAACGGCUAACACAUCCAAGGAAGGCAGCAGGCGCGCAAAUUACCCAAUCCCGACACGGGGAGGUAGUGACAAUAAAUACUGAUCCAGGGCUCUUUUGGGUCUUGGAAUUGGAAUGAGUACAAUUUAAAUCCCUUAACGAGGAACAAUUGGAGGGCAAGUCUGGA
rnacentral:rRNA from 1 species